CCUCCUUAACGAUAAUUUCGAAUUUCAAACGCCCACACGAGUAACCAAAUAUUUAAAAGAACAUACUGAUAUGUAAAAUUUUUGGUAUGUAAUUUUCUAGUAUAUGCAUUUAUGCAUAUAUAAGAUCACUGCAAUUUAAUUAGAAAAGUAAUUAAUAUAUUUUAUUAAGUACUCUCAAAAAAGCGAAAAAUAACCUUUUUUAAGGUUAUAUGAUCAAGUAAAGGAAGAGCACAAGGCGGAUGCCUUGGCAGCAGAAGGCGAUGAAGGACGUAGUAACUUGCGAUAAGCCUCGGGGAGCUGGUAAACAAGCUUCGAUCCGAGGAUUUCCGA
rnacentral:misc_RNA from 1 species